rfam:Melioribacter roseus P3M, complete genome.
UCUGGUGGUUAUAGCUACGGGGAAACACCUCUUCCCAUUCCGAACAGAGAAGUUAAGCCCGUAAACGCCGAUGGUACUGCACUGGCAACGGUGCGGGAGAGUAGGUAGCUGCCAGGA